GAUGAACGCUGGCGGCGUGCUUAACACAUGCAAGUCGAACGAUGAAGCCCAGCUUGCUUGGUGUAUUGGUGGCGAACUGGUGGAUAACACGGGAGUAACCUGCCCUUUACUCUAUGAUAAGCCCGGGAGACGGGGUCUUAUACUGAAUAGGAACUUCUACCUCAUGGUGUGUGUUGGAAAGAAUUUCGGUAAUGGCUGGACUCUCGGCCUAUCAGCUUUUUGGUGGGUUAAUGGCUAACCAACGCGACGAGGGGUAGUCGGCCUGAGAGGGUGAACGGUCACCCUGGGACUGCGACACGGCCCAGAGUGCUACGGGAGGCAGCAGUGGGGAGUAUUGUACAACGGGAGAAAGCCUGAUGAAGAGACGCCGCGUGUGGGAUGACGGUCUUUGGGUUGAAAAACUCUUCAGGUAAGGAAGCAGCGAAAGUGACGGUACCUGAAGAAGAAGCACCGGCUAACUACGUG
rnacentral:rRNA from 1 species